AUUUCCAUGAUGAAGUACUUACCGCCCCAGGCUGACAUGUGUGACGAUUGGUAUACUAGUAAUU